CCUGCCCCUGAAAGCAUUGCAGGUGUGGCUGCUGUGACGCGUGUGUAUCAAUAAGUGACAACGAGGAGAGAGGCUAUGUGUAGGCUCAGUGUUCUGAUCUAUGAACAUCUGAGUGAUUAUUAGUCUAAUAUU
ensembl:snoRNA